CCUACGGGCGGCAGCAGUGAGGAAUAUUGGUCAAUGGGCUUACGCCUGAACCAGCCAAGUCGCGUGAGGGAAGACUGCCCUAUGGGUUGUAAACCUCUUUUGUCAGGGAGCAACGCCGGCUACGUGUAGCCGGACUGAGAGUACCUGAAGAAAAAGCAUCGGCUAACUCCGUGCCAGCAGCCGCGGUAAUACGGAGGAUGCGAGCGGUAUCCGGAUUUAUUGGGUUUAAAGGGUGCGUAGGCGGAAUGCCAAGUCAGCGGUAAAAGCGCGGGGCUCAACCUCGCUCCGCCGUUGAAACUGGCGUUAUUGAGUGGGCGAGGAGUAUGCGGAAUGCGUGGGGUAGCGGUGAAAUGCAUAGAUAUCACGCAGAACUCCGAUUGCGAAGGCAGAAUACCGGCGCCCAACUGACGCUGAAGCACGAAAGCGUGGGUAUCGAACAGGAUUAGAUACCCUGGUAGUC
rnacentral:rRNA from 1 species